UGCCUGCUAUGUGACUUUGUAAUCUAGGU
rnacentral:piRNA from 1 species